rnacentral:tRNA from 1 species
GCUGGUGUGGCGAAAAUGGUAAACGCAGAGAUCCCUCAAAUCUCCGGGCGAAGGCCCUUGUGGGUUCGAAUCCCACCACCAGCA